UACGUAGGGUGCGAGCGUUGUUCGGAAUUAUUGGGCGUAAAGAGCUCGUAGGCGGUGUGUCACGUCGGCCGUGAAAACCUGCAGCUUAACUGUGGGCGUGCGGUCGAUACGGGCAUCACUGGAGUUCGGCAGGGGAGACUGGAAUUCCUGGUGUAGCGGUGAAAUGCGCAGAUAUCAGGAGGAACACCGGUGGCGAAGGCGGGUCUCUGGGCCGAUUCUGACACUGAGGAGCGAAAGCGUGGGGAGCGAACAGG
rnacentral:rRNA from 1 species